rnacentral:sRNA from 1 species
UAAUGGUAAAACACAGUGGGCUGCACGG